AGCGAACGCUGGCGGUAGGGCUAACACAUGCAAGUCGAACGAACCCUUCGGGGUUAGUGGCGGACGGGUGAGUAACACGUGGGAACGUGCCUUUAGGUUCGGAAUAACUCAGGGAAACUUGUGCUAAUACCGAAUGUGCCCUUCGGGGGAAAGAUUUAUCGCCUUUAGAGCGGCCCGCGUCUGAUUAGCUAGUUGGUGAGGUAAUGGCUCACCAAGGCUACGAUCAGUAGCUGGUCUGAGAGGAUGACCAGCCACAUUGGGACUGAGACACGGCCCAAACUCCUACGGGAGGCAGCAGUGGGGAAUCUUGCGCAAUGGGCGAAAGCCUGACGCAGCCAUGCCGCGUGGAUGAUGAAGGUCUUAGGAUUGUAAAAUCCUUUCACCGGUGAAGAUAAUGACUGUAGCCGGAGAAGAAGCCCCGGCUAACUUCGUGCCAGCAGCCGCCGUAAAAC
rnacentral:rRNA from 1 species